rnacentral:lncRNA from 1 species
GCUUGGCCUCCGCGAUUAGCUCCGGCAACGGCGCAGACAGAGCUAAUCACAGAGGCCGCGGUGUAAGAUAUACGAGGCGCUUGUUCACAUUGCGCUCGGCUGUUUGUCAGUAUGACAGAUAUUGUAGUCUAGCUGCAGAACUUUCAGCGUUUCUAUACUGAGGCUCAGGUACAUAAACAGCGCUCACGCAGUUAAUUCGGAUCUAUGAGCUGCGGGAAACUUCCAUCGGAGUGCAGCUUGGCUCCGCCAGAGGAAUCGAAGCUGACGUAGUUUGUUUCCACGCCCACACUUUUGGCGUGCUCACGUGGGUGGAGCAAGACAAACUUUUCUUAUGCAUAUUUUAGUGCUCCUGUUGCAACCACCACGCAAAAAAUUACGACAUCGUCGACAAUAAUGUCGGUCCUUGUUAACCAUGAAGUUCUGCCAAAUUUUAAAACCACCUCAGGCUUCCCUUUAAAUGCUCUACCAGUUUCAUGUUGGCAGCUUAAAACUUAUCGAGACCAGUGCUAGUAUUCAAUUGAGAACGGUGAAAGCUUCCGCAGGUGAAGUCAGAUAAAGAAAAAAAAGAAUGUUUUAAUCAUGAACACAAGCAUUCGAGGGGUGCUGUCGACCGGGGUGGGUCAAUGCCGUAUGAGUCAUUAAAAGCAUUCGCAAUAUCAGAUGGGUUUUCAAUCACUCGGUUUUCCCAAGUGAAUUAAGGUUGUUUUUAUAUGUGUAAUGGUUCUGUCAAGAAAGGAAUUACAGUUUUCCACUGUUGCUUGAUGUCACUUCCAGCUUAAUUUAUCAUAUCUUCGAAGUACUUCAUUCUACCGGCUUUAAGUAACUGUCCUAGUGCGUUUCAGUAAUCUUUAUAGCGCCUUUGAAAAUUAACACUGAACCGGAUACUUUUUUAUCUUUUUGUAUAUGUUAUCCUUUUUCCAAAGACAUUUUAAUAGGUUAGGUGUCAACCAUGGAUUAAUGGGGACAAGGUACCUCAACAACACCUGCUCCAGGAGGACUAAUGAGGUUAGACAAAAUGUGAUCCAUGAUUGUACCGUUGCCAUAAAGUGGAACAUAAGUAGGUGUAGUUACGAGGCACUCAUAGCCAUACCCACUAAAUGACAAGACUUUUAAACACAUCACCUAAAGCUAAGGAGAACUUCACGAUAGCUGAUGAUGAGAGCCAAAAUCACAGGAAUUAGCAAUGAAACAGGUUCACAAGGAUAUCGAAAUGAUCGGUAGUAAUUGAAUGAGGAAAGAAGCUGGAUUUUCGGCAUUGAAGACAAACUUCUCUUCACAAGUUAUAGUGGAUCAAAAGGGUGAAGCAAUUUAUUGAAGCAGUUUUCUCUGCAAAGCCUUUUCGUCUAUUCUGACCAUUCCGAUGAGUGCCGCUGUCUUGC